UGUAAAUUCCAUCAGAAAUCGGCGAAAAUACGAAUGAACGAUCGAAAGGUGUCUCUUUCAGCUGAAGAAAGGUCAUUUCAUUGCUUAAACUGCCAUCCACACCUCAGUUAUUUGCAUAUAAGUUUGGUGGGUGGAAAGUUAAUCUGACAAGCUUGAAUCAUGUGAUGGAAUGGAAGAAGACAAGUUGUUUUUAGGUAGAAAAACAUGUAAAAUGGUCUCUCUAUGAUUUG